CCUACGGGGGGCAGCAGUGGGGAAUAUUGGACAAUGGGGGCAACCCUGAUCCAGCCAUGCCGCGUGUGUGAAGAAGGCCCUCGGGUUGUAAAGCACUUUCAGUGAGGAAGAACGCCUGGUGGUUAAUACCCAUCAGGAAAGACAUCACUCACAGAAGAAGCACCGGCUAACUCCGUGCCAGCAGCCGCGGUAAUACGGAGGGUGCGAGCGUUGAUCGGAAUUACUGGGCGUAAAGCGCGCGUAGGUGGCUUGAUAAGCCGGUUGUGAAAGCCCCGGGCUCAACCUGGGAACGGCAUCCGGAACUGUCAAGCUAGAGUGCAGGAGAGGAAGGUAGAAUUCCCGGUGUAGCGGUGAAAUGCGUAGAGAUCGGGAGGAAUACCAGUGGCGAAGGCGGCCUUCUGGACUGACACUGACACUGAGGUGCGAAAGCGUGGGUAGCAAACAGGAUUAGAUACCCGGGUAGUC
rnacentral:rRNA from 1 species